CAGUGGCGAACGGGUGAGUAACACGUGGGAAAUCUGCCCUGCACUNUGGGACAAGCCUUGGAAACGAGGUCUAAUACCGGAUAUGACCUUCCUCUGCAUGGGGGUUGGUGGAAAGCUCCGGCGGUGCAGGAUGAUCCCGCGGCCUAUCAGCUUGUUGGUGGGGUAAUGGCCUACCAAGGCGACGACGGGUAGCCGGCCUGAGAGGGCGACCGGCCACACUGGGACUGAGACACGGCCCAGACUCCUACGGGAGGCAGCAGUGGGGAAUAUUGCACAAUGGGCGAAAGCCUGAUGCAGCGACGCCGCGUGAGGGAUGACGGCCUUCGGGUUGUAAACCUCUUUCAGCAGGGAAGAAGCGCAAGUGACGGUACCUGCAGAAGAAGCACCGGCUAACUACGUGCCAGCAGCCGCGGUAAUACGUAGGGUGCGAGCGUUGUCCGGAAUUAUUGGGCGUAAAGAGCUCGUAGGCGGCCUGUCGCGUCGGAUGUGAAAGCCCGGGCUUACCCCCGGGUCUGCAUUCGAUACGGGCAGGCUAGAGUGUGGUAGGGGAGAUCGGAAUUCCU
rnacentral:rRNA from 1 species